rnacentral:rRNA from 1 species
GGGCCCGCACAAGCGGUGGAGCAUGUGGUUUAAUUCGAUGCAACGCGAAGAACCUUACCAGGCCUUGACAUCCCCGGAACUUUCUAGAGAUAGAUUGGUGCCUUCGGGAACCGGGUGACAGGUGCUGCAUGGCUGUCGUCAGCUCGUGUCGUGAGAUGUUGGGUUAAGUCCCGUAACGAGCGCAACCCUUGUCCUUAGUUGCCAGCGGGUAAUGCCGGGAACUCUAGCGAAACUGCCGGUGCAAACCGUGAGGAAGGUGGGGAUGACGUCAAAUCAUCACGGCCCUUACGUCCUGGGCUACACACGUGCUACAAUGGUCGGUACAGAGAGCAGCCACUACGCGAGUAGGAGCG